AUUGAACGCUGGCGGCAUGCCUAACACAUGCAAGUCGAGCGGAUGAAGGGGGCUUUCUCCUGGCUUCAGCGGCCGACGGGUGAGUAAGGCCUAGGAAGCUGCCUUGUCUUUGGGGAUAACGUCCGGACACGGGCGCUAAUACCACAUACGACCAUAGGUAGAAAGUGGGGGAUCUUCGGACCUCACGCGAUCAGAUGAUCCUAGGUCGGAUUAGCUAGUUGGUGGGGUAAAGGCCUACCAAGGCGACGAUCCGUAACUGGUCUGAGAGGAUGAUCAGUCACACUGGAACUGAGACACGGUCCAGACUCCUACGGGAGGCAGCAGUGGGGAAUCUUCGACAAUGGGCGAAAGCCUGACGCAGCCAUGCCGCGUGUGUGAUGAAGGUCUUCGGAUCGUAAAGCACUGUUAGUUGGGAAGAACGAAAGUAAGUUAAUCCCUGGCUGUUUUGACGGUACCUACAGAAAAAGCACCGGCUAACUUCGUG
rnacentral:rRNA from 1 species